UUGGACCUGAUAUCAGGCAAGACUAC
rnacentral:rRNA from 1 species